UACGAAGGGGGCUAGCGUUGUUCGGAGUUACUGGGCGUAAAGGGCGCGUAGGCGGCUGUCCAAGUCAGGUGUGAAAGCCCGGGGCUCAACCCCGGAAAUGCACUUGAGACUGGGCGGCUCGAGGACGGGAGAGGAUGGUGGAAUUCCCAGUGUAGAGGUGAAAUUCGUAGAUAUUGGGAAGAACACCGGUGGCGAAGGCGGCCAUCUGGACCGUUUCUGACGCUGAGGCGCGAAAGCGUGGGGAG
rnacentral:rRNA from 1 species